AGUUUCGGUUUGUUUCUCUGCUCUGCCGGCUCCGGAUCGGGGGCGGACAGAGGGGUGCGCAGGGAUGUGUGCGCCCCUACGGCAGCCGCGCCGAAGCCGUGGAAGCGGGAAAGGGCAGCUGCCGCCUGCUGUAACUGGGGAGAUCUUCUGGACCACGGAAGGGGUGGCGGGGCCGCAGGGGUCCCGGGGAGGGGAGCGCGGCGUCUGGCGGGGCACGGGGGAGGUGGUCCCGGGAGUUGCGUGUCUCCUGAGAGCUGGCGGAAUUGGGCGGGCGGCCGCGGCGGGGAGCGGCGCUGUCGGCUGCUCGGCCGAGUCCUCGGAUGCCCCCUGGAGCUCCGGUCCGAGGGAGCUCGCCUCGUGCCCGCGCCGCGCGCCCCUGGGUGUGCACGUGCGCGCGCGCCCGCCCCAGCUGCGCCCCCGGCCCGCACACACCCCGGCUCAUCUUCUCCCGGUCCCCUUGUCUCGCGCCUUCUCCAGCCCUAGAAGUUGCCCCAGGGCCCCUCCCGGGAUUAGAGAGCGCUCUGAAGGACCAGAUGUUGGGGGUCUUUUGUGCAGACACACGCGCCUGGGGCGCUUGCUCCUGGAAGGACAGCGGCAGGACAAAGCCAGCGGGACUCGUGGGGCGCUGCUUGGGAAGCGGCGGUCCCCAGUCCCGCCUGGGGUCGGGGCAUGGCUUGGGGAGCGCUGCCUGGGUCUGGAGAGAGUAGAGAAAUCGCCAAAGCAGAGUGACGGUGACUUGAUGAGGUGACGGUGACUUGAUGAGGUGGCGGUGACUUGAUGAGGUGGCGGACAGGGGCAAACGAAAGAAAGAUGCUCGGGAUUGCCGCGCUGUGUGCCUGUCUGCGCGGGUGACUAGGCGCCCCGCAUUCCCAUAUGACCGGGUUACCUGGUAAAUUUUGCCAGUGUGUCUUUGCCCCAAGAUGUUAUUCCCCACCUGCUCCGAUUUCUUUCUUUCCUAGGGCUUACUGUUGCUAGUAGGCGCUCUGCCACCAGAGGGGAACUCGUGGGCGGGGGAGACUGCGGAGGAGGGGGGAGGUGGUUAUUUAUCCUGUAGAGACAAUUAGGAGCCGUGACGCCCCCUUCUCGGCCGCCAGCCCUCCACACCUCAUCUGCCUUGCUCCACCUCCCUAGUGCACCCGCUCCAGCCCCGUCUGCCCAGGAGGGCGCUUGGAUUUCCUUCUCCGCGGCGCGUAUCUAACCCUUCCUGCAUGUAUUUCACUGCAGGCUGAAGAAAGCUCAGUCUCAAUUGUGUUUCCUGCCUGUCAGCCUCUUGCCUCCUAAACGUGUACCAUUUCCACUUGAUGUCAUCACGCAGAAGGGGUGAAAGAGACUCGGUGACAGAUACAGUGUGGUUGGCAGGUGGACCCUGCUCGUCGUAGUCACUCAAGGACUCAAACUGAUGGAGUCUUGGUCUUGAUGUGAGCUUGCAAGAUCAUUGCAGCAUCGGGAAGGAAAUGCUGCAGGGUCUUGCUCUAGCAAUUAUGUGAUCCUACCCAGAGGUGAGUUCCAUCACUUUGGCCAGAACUGGGCAUAUGACCCUAUUUAAUCACAAUUCAAUAUUUCUUGUGCUGAAAAAGGGAGAAGUGGAUAUGGGUGAGUAGCACUAGUGACUUCCACAGGGAUCUGGUCUAGGUGAGGUUAGAAAGUGUUGGGACCUAGCUCAGUGCUUGGUGGGUAUUGGAUGUCACAAGAGUAUUGAUUGAAUCAACAACCUGUAAUUUACAACCUGUAUAUUUACUAUUCCAACCUGUAAUUUACUAAUAUAUGGUCCUACCCCCACCUGUAAUGUACUACUAAUAUGUUGAUAUGUUAUUUACUAACAUGGUUGUACACUGGUCAUCAAAUAAAAUAAUUAUAAUCCUCUCUUUGCCUGUUUCAAGUGCAUGUUUACUCUGAAGUGAAAGGCCAUUAGGUAUUUUCAAGGCUGAUUCUAGGAGGUUGUGAGCUUAGCAUUAUGUAAUAGAGAGGUGUUACUUACAGACUUUCUCUUCCUCACCAUCUGCCUCUUGUUUAAGGCUUCCUGAGUUUGUUUGGAACCGCCCAGGGUAGAAAAAGAGUGGCAAUGGGCCUAGGGCCACCCAGGAGGUGGCCUCCUACAGCAGAGACCACAGGGCAACAGAUAAGAUCUGAAGGGGGCAGGAAUGUGUUUAGGGUAACCUUGGGUCACCCUUUUGUUACUUUGAUAUUUAGAAAAAGCAAUUUGGGCAAGAGGCUUUUUCUGGUCACAGGACUAGUAGAACACCCAGAGAGUUUAGGGACAUUUGUGCUUCCAUCAGCAACUGUAUUGACUAGGAGGGUGGUGAGUUCUAAAGCCUUCCUUGCCUCACUCUCCCUAAAAAGAGUUGGAUGCUAUGGAAUAGGCAUUGCAAGGUGCUCUGGAUUCAGCAGUUGGUGGCUUGCAGAGAUUUUGCUUUGGGAAGAGCUGUUCACUCAUAUAUCUUUGUUCACAUUGUGAUAACUGCAUGCACGGAUGAGCAUUUUAAAGAUUUGAUAAAUACCUUAAGCAUAAGCGUAGAAUUUAACAAAAUAAUAUUGCUUUUGGUUCAGUAAUCACCUUGGCAAAGUCAUUUUUAUAAAGAUAGCUCUCCAAAUAAGGAAGUGGUGUGGUAAACUAUGUUAGUCUCCAAGUCACAGUGACUAAGGGGAUAUCAGUAUCAACCUAGGGAGGUUGAGACCACCCGGCUUCAUUCAAGUGAUAAGAUGUAGCACCCAAAGCGUUUCUGAAUUGGGAGAUGAGCAGCUUGGAGACCAGCAGGAAGAACCAGAUAUAGACCAUCCAAAAACCCAUUCAGGGUGCCUGGGGUUGGGCUGAGGGCCAGGCACAGACUGAGGGAGAAGGAAAAUGAAGCCCCGAGGGACUAGUCUUGAACUAUAUUUGGGAAGCCCGAAAAUGCAUUUCUAUAUUUUCUCUGGCCUCUGGGUCCCUACCACUUUAAUUUCAUACCCAAGUCGGCUGGUCAGGUAGGACACUUGUGGCGUGAAAGUGGUUUCUGGCACUGCCCAUUGUGACGUCAAAGAAACCGGAAAGGAAGAAGGUGUUGGUUUUCCUGCUCCUUUUCCCAUGGCUUCGAGAGUUACACUGUGUGAUCCAGCAGUCUGAUCCAUGAUUGAAAUCACAAUUGGGAUAAAGUUGGUAGAGAUGCUUCUUAAUUUACAGUGGGGUUAUAUCCUCAUAAACCCCUCAUAAGUUAAAAAUAUUGUAAGUGGAAAAUGCAUUUAAUACACCUAACCUACUGACAUCAUAGCUCAGCCUGGUCUACCUUAACUGUGCCCAGAAAUGCACAUUAGCCUACAAUGGGGGUAAAAUCAUGUAACAAGAAGCCUAUUUUGUAUUAAAGCAUCAAAUAUCUCAUGUAGUUUAUUGAAUACUGUAUUGAAAGUGAAAGAUUGGUCGUAUAGGCACUCAAAGUACGGUUUCUACUGAAUGUGUAUUGUUUUCACACCGUUGUAAAGUCAGAAAAUCAAAGGUCAUAGGUCAAACAGUUGUAAGUAGGGAACCGUCUGUGCUUGUUACAUGCUUAGGGAUUUUCUAUUUCUAAUUGACUCACUGUCAUUGUAGGAUUUAAAGAGGGAGGCCUCAAAUAGUGUAUCUGUGACCUGCAUCUCCUUUGGGUGGUUCUUGAUGUCCAUGAUUUCUUGGCCGAGAUCAUGUUUGGCUGCUAAGGCCUGGACUACGUUCUUUGUGGAGUUGUGAGGGGGCUGCUUGUGAUCUCCUAGGAGUGGAGAGGAUGCCUUAUUUACCCCUUGAUGUACUAAUGCCUGCAUAAAUAAAACUCAUUGCAAACAUCCUGCAUGAUGAAACUUACUCAAACAUCACAUAGACUUCCUGGUUACCUGCCUUUCAUGCAAAGGAGGGGCUGAGCAAAGGAAGAUGUGCUGCUGGUGGGAGCAAAGUUAUGAGGAAGUGGAAUCUCCAAAUGCUGUGUUCUGUGCUUGUAUUUUCUCUUUCUACAACCUCCUUUCCCCUGCCACUAUCGCAUUCCCACCUACCAAGGAAGUGUAACUUUCCCGGCUCAGUUCUGAUCUAGACAUCCAGAUAAUCACACUUGGUGCACUCCUCACUGAGGUUUGACAAGAAUGGAAGAGAUUUUGGUAAAAGCUUUGACAGAUACUGUGGAAAUAGGGAGCAUUCUUUUUUUUUUUUUUUUUUUUUUUUUUUGAGAUGGAGUCUCGCUCUGUCACCCAGGCUGGAGUGCAGUGGGGCAUGAUCUCAGCUCACUGUAACCUCUGCCUCCUGGGUUCAAACUAUUCUCCUGCCUCAGCCUCUCGAGUAGCUGGGAUUACUGGGAUAAUUUUUUCUAUUUUUAGUAGAGACAGGGUUUCAUCAUGUUGGCCAGGCUGGUCUUGAACUCCUGACCUCGUGAUCCACCCGCCUUGGCCUCCCAAAAUGCUGGAAUUACAGGCGUGAGCCACUGCACCUAGCCAGGAGCAUUCUUCUUACUAUUGCUGUUCUGCUCCUUGACAGAUUCACUUAGUGACAGUUGCCACUGCCGCAUCUUAGUCAAGAACCUUGUUUCUCUCUGGGCUAUGACAAUGGUCUUGCUCACUUUCUGGCUUUCCCACCCCACUCCAGUUUGGAAAAUGCUGUCACUCUUAGACCAUUAGGCCGAUUAAUCCUUCAUCCCCUCACUUAAUAACUUUUAGUUGCCCUUGUGGGAGGAAGCUCAUAUUCUUCAGUUUUGCUUUUCAAGUUUUCCCCAGGUUGACCCCAAACUUCCUUUCCAACCUCGACUUUUGCUCCGCCUGACUUUAAAACUGAACAUUAGCUGGGAUGGUUAAUCCACUGUUGCCCAAAAUGUUUUUCAUUGCCUCUUUCUUAUUCUAGCACAUUCUGUGGCCUAAAAUGUCCUCUUCCUUCCUCUGCCUCUAUCCUAUCAUCGAAGCCUCAGUUCAGCUCUCAACUCUUCUGAAAAAUUUAACUUGAUCACAUUAGCCUUUAGACAUUCUUUAUAAUCCAAAGUUCUCUGGCAAAAUUGCCUCCAUCUCUCAUUUCAUUCAACAUUCAUUCAUUCAUUCUACAAAGGCCACUUGUCAUAGAUUGUCUUGUAUUAUCACCUACGAUUGAAGUAUCUUUUUCUUUCUGUUUAAUUGCAAAGAAUAGAAAUUCACUCAAGCUUGUUUGCAUACAGGGAGGUGAAUUGAAGAGAUGUCCCAGGAUGUCUUGUCAUCAAGCCACAUUUCCCAAGAGUUCCAGUGAAUGGGACCCUUCCAGUUAUCACUCACCCUGGACCUGCUUAGUGCAGGAGAGGGUUGGGGGCACAGUUCCUUCCAAGGGGGCCUGUGGCUGGCUGAUGUAGCAGUUGUGACCUGCAAUUAGCCUACAAUGGGGGCAAAAUCAUGUAACAAAAAGCCUAUUUUGUAUUAAAGCAUCAAAUAUCUCAUGUAGUUUAUUGAAUACUGUAUUGAAAGUGAAAAACAGAUUGGUUGUAUAGGCACUCAAAGAGAUCUCAGUUCUCUUGCAAGCUCCUUAAAGAUGACUGGAUGAGGCUUUACACCACUGUGUGUUUGCCACCGUAUUUGUACACAGGAAGGGCUCAAUAAACAAAUCAUUGGUGACUCUUUGACAACACAGAAAACGAUUUUGACUUACAGUGAUUUAAAGGAAUUUUAGACCCUUUUAGCUUGAAGUCUUAAAGGAAGUUAAGAAGAUAGAAACUUAUUUUUAAGAGCUUCCCCUACUUGCAUUAAUAAUGAUUAAAUGUUGAAUCAAAUUAGAAUGACCAGGCUGCAGUGCGUAUACCAAUGUUUGGGAGGUGAAUGUUCUCAAUGAGGGUCAUGAUUCUAACAAAAUUAGUUGUUACUCAAAGCCUGUUUUUCAACUUCCAUUUGCCUCCUACUUUGCCCACAAAAAAAAAAAAAAAAAAAAAAAAAAAGAAAGCAAAAGAAAGCAAAAGAAAAAAAACCUCUACUUGGUGACAUACAACAAGCAGCUUUAGGACUUGACAGCCUACCUACCAGGCCACCCCACAAUCUAAAGGAGCAGGCAUUGAUGCCUGGAUUUGUGAUGACUGGGUGUAGUUGCCCACCGCUGACUGCCCCACCUGCGUUUAUAAUUAAAGGCUCCAAUACCUUUGUGAUAUACAUCUGUUUUACCUCCCUUCUUUUGAUUUUGGAAUACUCGUUCACAUGAUAGAAACUCUUCUUUGAUACUCAAAAUGCUUGAUCAUUAUGAGAGUGUUAUUAUGAAAGAGGGAAAUAUGUUCAGCUGCUUGAAGAAAAUGACCAGAAAUACAUUAAUAUUAAAAUAACGCUCUCGGCUGGGCGUGGUGGCUCACGCCUGUAAUUCCAGCACUUUGGGAGGCUGAGGCGGGUGGAUUACUUGAGGUCAGGAGUUCGAGACCAGCCUGGCCAACAUGGUGAAAUCCCAUCUCUACUAAAAAUACAAAAAUUAUCCAAGCAUGAUGGUGUGCACCUGUAAUCCCAGCUACUUGGGAGGCUGAGGCAGGAGAAUUGCUUGAACCUGGGAGGCAGAAGUUGCAGUGAGUUGAGAUCGCACCACUGCACUCCAGCCUGGGCAAAAGAGCGAGGCCCUGUCUCAAACAAACAAGCAAACAAACAAAACACUCUCAGUUUGAAAGGUAGUGAAUAGGGCUGAGAUAAGUGUCUCAGGAACCAAGUAUUUGUUGUGAUAUUCUUUUGCAGUUGUGUUGCUCUGGGGUAGGUUUGCAAAUUGCUUCCUCGAAGAUUAAUAAUAUGAGAUUAGAAGUGGUUGGUGAGCACAUGGACAAAUUUGUGUACUUUGGAGAAUUUACCCCUUUUGUUGCAUGAGACAUAAGAUUACUGCUAUUUUAAGUGAGUAAUAGUUAAUUCAACCAUGCAGGUAAAGAGGCGUCCUUAACUGGGAUAAAUAGUCCAUCCGCUCCACUCCUUUACACUGGUACUUCAGAAACUGAAGGUACAGAUCCAUCCAUUCACCUAUGGUGGUGUGUAAAAUAGCAUUUGAAACACUGAGCAUCAGUUAUUUAAACCACUUAUUGGGCAAACAAUUGCAUUCAUUAAAUGUAUUUUGAAUGGCCAGGCAUGGUGACUCACGCCUGUAAUCCCAGCCCUUUGGGAGGCUGAGGCAGGCAGAUCACCUGAAGUCAGGAGUUCAAGACCAGCCUGGCCAACAUGGAGAAACCCCGUCUCUACUAAAAGAUACAAAUUAGCCAGGCAUGGUGGCGGGCACCUGUAAUCCUAGCUACUCUGGAGGCUGAGGCAGGGAGAAUUGCUUGAACCUGAGAGGUGGAGGUUGCAGUGAGCUGAGAUUGUGCCACUGCACUCCAGCCUGGGCGACAGAAUGAGACUCUGUCUCAAACAAACAAACAAAAAAAGAAAAGAAUGUUGAAUGCCUAUGUUUUACCAGGCAUAAUUCUAACAAAAAUCCCUGCCUUCUAGCUUCCUGUAGGUAUUAAACUCAUAAUUAAUUUGGUUUUCUGCUUUUUUUUUUUUUGUAAUGGCAAAGCUAAAAGGGUAGAGAAUAAAAGAAAUGUAUCUGAUAUUCUCUCAAUUCUUGAUACCUUAGCAUAUAUGCCUGCCUUACAUGGCUCUAAUUCAGGUAAGUCAUUAUGAACUGGAAUUUUAAAAAGUAAGGUGGGUUUGGGUUUAAAUUUCACGUCUGCCACGUGACCUGAGUGCACAAGGUCUGACUGAGCUUUGUUCUUCAGCUGCAAAAUGGGGGAGAACCGACCUCAUUGAGUUAGUGUGAGAACAGGAGAGACUUACAUAUAAAGUGCUUAGUGUGUUGCCCUCCACAAUGUAAGACUAAAUAAAUGGCAGCUGUUGCUAACGUCCUUAUAUCCAGCAUCUACUAUCCACCAAUCACUGGGCUCAGUUCUGGAAAUAUCGGGAUGAAUAGGCAUGGUCUAAUCUGAAGAAGCCCUUAAGCUAGCCAAGGAGGUGAUGGCAUCCAAGUAACUACAGCCUUCAGCGUUUACAUGGAAGUUUCUUUUACCUGUCAUUAUUGUCAGAGUCUUUGGUUUGAAAGUCUGUAAAGCUUUCAGUGGCUCUGAGUUUAAAAUGAUAGGCCUUCUCAGGAGGAAGCGGGGAAAAAGCUGGAAGCAACUGGAGGAGAGGAGUCUGAGAAAGGGUUCUGAGCUAGCCCCCAGGCAACCUGAGUCUUCCUUAAAGGAGAUGAGUCGCCUUUCUCCUGUGGCCUCACUCUUCCCAAGUGAAAUGAAGGACAUCCUCUUUCUCAGGGUCUGCUUUCUUGGGAGUAGAGUGACCCCCAGACUUGCCCAUGACUAAGAGCAUACCUGGGUCAUGGAACUUUCCGUUUUAAAACAGUCCCAGAAAAAUUGGGAUGAGCUGGUCACCCUCCAGUCUUGUUCUGUGAUUGUUGUUUGACAUCCUGAAGCAGGCUUUGUAGAGAUCUAACAUUGUUAGUAGAGAUACAACCAUCCUACAAGAGAGGAGCAAACGGGGCAGAAUAAGAUGGGAAAAAAUAUUGUAGCCUUGUCAACCCCUUUAUUUAGGAAUCUGCUUUUUGGAAUGGGAUAUUUAUUAUUAUUAAAAAGAAGAGAACUGUUUAAUAAAGGCAAAGAAUCUAGGCUAUACAAUAUAAAUAUAAAGUUAAUGAAACCUUUUAGAAAUUCUUCUUAAAAAGGGGUAGCCGCUUGGGGCCCGGUACACAGUAGACACUCAGUAAAGACUUAUUGAAAUGGUGGCAUCAAUUUAUUCUUCAGAAAUACUUUUGAAAGCUGCAUAGAGAAGUGCAAGAGGCCUCUGAGACGUGCAUUCCAGGACAGGUUGAGGGGCUGAACACUGUGGGCUUUGAACCAGUCUGCGCCUCACUCUUCUGGGCCCUUCCAUCACUCAUUUGAAAAUGCAUGCAUCUAGAUAUGCCCUGGGUUUCCUGUGCUGGUAUCUGAGUGUGUUUAUGUAUGAGCUGAUGCUCUUCAUGACUGUGUUUUUUUUCUUUCUGGUGGAACCGCGUGAUGCUAGCAGACAAGUUGCUCUGUCUUUUGUUUGAAGCUAGGAUGCCUCUGGAACAUUCCUAUGUUGAAUACAUGAUGGUAGUGUGGGUUGGGUGGAGGGGGACAUUGUGUACUCAGCACCCAGUGUUUUCUUUCCAAAGAUUCCAGAGGGUUUUCGUGAUGAGUCUGUAAUACCAAGUGGGGGUUGGGAAGGGAACCAGGCCUGGCUCCACCCUAUAGCAGAGCUCUUAGAGAUCUCAGGAGCUGGACUCCAAUUUGCCAGCAUUUCCUCUCUCUCUGAGUCUCCAUUACUAACAUGUGGGAUUGAUGGAGACUGAUAAGGCCCUUAGCCAAGCCACCAAUUCUUCUAGUAUUUAGCUGAUGCCUCAAAUGAUAACCCUUUGUGCUCUCUUUCUCCUUGGAACCUUAGCAAAUUGCCAGCAACAGUGAUUAGUUUGUUGGUUGCCAGUUCUGUAACCUCAUGCACAGAGCACCUGAAGGCAAUUGCCAGACACUUGCGUGCCUCUUUCCCAUGUAAUCAUCAUGCACACCAAGAUACUGUGUUCACUGUGUUCCUGGCAAGCCAGAUUUCUUCAUAGUCUAUUACUUCACUGAAUAAAAAGGCAAAUGACUUGUUUUUGGAAGGGGAAUUUUAUAGGAAAACAGAAUGCAUUUAAUAAAUUGCCUUUAUUUUUACACACACAGUGCUAAAUAUUAGUACAAAGAGUUCGUUUCUCUGCAGAUUAAGUACAGGCUAAUCUAUGUUUUGGAUUUUGGAUUUUUUUGGAUUUUGUAAUAUUUGCAUUACACUUAAUAUUCACACAUUAUAUUUACUGGUUGAGCAUUCCACAUCUGAAAAUCCAAAAUUCUCCAGUGAGAAUUUCCUUUGAGUGUCAUGUUUUCACUCAAAAAGUUUCUGAUUUUGGAGCAUUUCGGAUUUCGGAUGUUUGAAUCCGAAUGCUCAACUGUAGUUUACUUUUCUUUUUUCCAACAGAGCUGUCAGAUCUAUUAAAAAUUAAUUGUUCAUAGACCCUACAUCUUAUAACAAAACAAUAAGUUAUUUAAGAAUUGCAUCUCAAGGCAGUCCACACUGUCCUAUAAGAAGACUGUUAAUUAACAAGGAAAAAUGUCUUCUCUGAGAAGGAAAUAAGAAUAUGUCAGAUUUCACCCCAAAUUUAUUUCAUCUUAUUUGUAGAACUUGUGCGUGGAGAUGCUAAACCCUCUCUUUGUGCUCCUUAAAAUAACAUUCUCUUGGGGGCAAAUCUAGUUUGCAAUGAAGAUUGAAAAAUAGAUACCAUCUAGAUAAUUUAGAAUUCCUUAUAAAUUAGGAAGACAGUGAUAAUCAAUUUUGGAUUCUAAACCUGAGUCAGCCUAGUUCUAGUUGCUUCAGCAUUCAUUUGAUUUCAUGUCUUUGACUAUUGCAAAGGGCAACAGUAUUAGCUUCUGUUACCGCUUUUAGUAAAGGUGAAUGUGAUUUUACUGAGACAGAAACCCUAGAAAUGGGUUGUUUGCCUGCAAUCUGCACUUCUCCUCUUCCCAUCAGAGGAAGCAGUUCUGAACAGACUCAUUGUCCUCUGGGUUCUGGAGUCCGCUUCCCUCAUUUUUAUUUCUCCCUUGAGAUUCUGACUUGUAAAGAAACAAAUUUCUUCCUUUUAUGAGGCUUUUUAGUGCCAGGUGACUGGUGUCGUUCGAUAUAAUCUAUAGUACUUAACAGCUAAAUACAUUUUGUUUUCCCCAAGCUGAUUACAGUGAAAAUAAGAAAACGAGAGAGAGAAGGCCGGGUGCGGUGGAUCACACCUAAUCCCAGCACUUUGGGAGGCUGAGGUGGGUGGAUCCUCUGAGGUCAGAUGUUUGAGACCAGCCUGACUAAUAUGAGGAAACCCCAUCUCUACUAAAAAUACAAAAAUUAGUUGGGCGUGGUGGCAUGUGCCUGUAAUCCCAGCUACUUGGGAGGCUGAGAUGGGAGAAUCGCUUGAACCCCAGAGGCGGAGGUUGCAGUGAGCUGAGAUUGCAUCACUGCACUCCAGCCUGGGUAACAAGAGUGAAACUCCAUCUCAAAAAAAAAAAAAGAAAACUAGAGAGAGAAAGACAACAGUUUGAGGGAGGAGGAGUGAGUAAAGAGAAGAAUAAGGGUAAAGAAUUGUGUAGGGGUAUGGUAUUUUCAAAAUUCAGUUUUAGUCAAAAUGAAGAACAACUGUUUACAUGGUGGUGUUGGCUUCAUAAUUAAAAACAUUUUGCCUGAUGCAAAUCGAAGUUAUUAUUAAUAAUGUUUUACAAAAUGACAUGGAAAUUUAUCAGAUUUUUCCCUUUCCUAACUAUCUUGGAUUCCACAAUGUAUUUCAUGACAACCAAAAGACAAUUUGGGAGAGUGGGGGAGAUAACUGUAGUAGAAAUAUAGUAGUAGAUAGUGUUUAUUAGACGCUUGGGUGCUUUCAGUUUAAAGUGCUUUAAUCACGUUAUCUGGGAGGCAGUGGAACUUGGAAAAGCCCGGUGACUUGUCCAAAGUUACGUGGCGAGUUUGUACUGGAGCUGGAACUGGGAUAUGUGACCCUGGGCAGUCUGGCUUGAGUCCUUCCUCUUAACUGCCUGUGAGCCACACUCACAACUGGGAUUAGGGUUCAAAAGCAUUUUGAAAACUGGUUCAGUGUAACGUAAUUUAGGAAGAGAUCUGAAUUCUUUGCGGACCUGUCUUUGGGAACAAAGAUGGACAAUUUUGGCCACCCAUCUGUUGAAUGUGUUUGAUGUUGACUUAGAGAAUGGGUUGUUUGAAAGCUUGGGUGUCAAGUUUUGUUGGGAAAUUUGCAGCAAGAUUUCUGGCUAUUACCUGAGUUUUGUCCUGUGCUAAUUCAGGUUUCUGUGAAGUCAGGUGGUGUGAAUUGUUUCUAGAAGGGCCACUUAAUUGAACACCAGUGUAUAUAGUUAUGUGAGAGAUUCUGUCAGAGUCUGGGAGCUUAGGAUUUUUCGGAAUACGCUACUAAAAAGCUGUGAACAAAAAAAAAAUUUUUUUUUUUUUGAGAUGGAGUUUCGCUCUUGUUGCCCUGGCUGGAGUGCAGUGGCGCGAUCUCGGCUCACUGCAACCUCUGCCUCCUGGGUUCAAGCGAUUCUCCUGCCUCAGCCUCCUGAGUAACUGGGGUUACAGGUGUGCGCCACCACACCUGGCUAAUUUUGUAUUUUUUCAGUAGAGAUGGGGUUUCUCCGUGUUGGUCAGGCUGGUCUCGAACUCCUGACCUCAGGUGAUUCGCCUGCCUCAGCCUCCCAAAGUGCUGGGAUUACAGGUGUGAGCCACCGUGCCUGGCCUCAAAAAAAUGUUUUUACAAUCCUCCCUCCCUAGUUACUGUUUCUUCCUGACCCCAUACCAGAAAGUGGAAUAAAUCAUACCCUUUUGUAUUCCCAUUCCUUUGUGUAGUUCCCUUUCCCCGGAACACGCUUUCUCCCUAUCCUUCCUCUCUGCCCUCCCGCAAAACACAGCAUAGUGAUGGAAAGCUAUAAGUACCAUAUAUACAGUCGUCCCUCAGUAUCUAUGGGGCACUGAUUCCAGGAACCCCCUUAGAAACCAAGAUCCAUGCAUGCUCAAGUCCCUGAUAUGAAAUGCCAUAGUUUUUGCAUAUAACCUAUGCACUUCCUCGUGUAUACUUUAAAUCGUCACUAGAUUACUUAUGAAGCCUAAUACAAUGUAAAUGCUAUGCAAAUGUAAUGUAAACAUGAUGUAAAUGUAAACGCAAUAUAAAUGUAAGUUGUUGUUAUACUGUAUCGUUUAGCAAGUAAUGACAAAAUGAAGAAGUCUGUGCACAUUCGGAGUGGAGGUAACUAUUUAGUAUUAUUUUUCCUGAAUAUUUUUGAUCCAUGGUUGGUUGAAUCCACAGAUGUGCGACCCAGAUAUGGAGGGCAGACUGUACUUUCUUCGAUACUUCGUUCCCAUUUUACUUGUCCUGUUGAUCCUCCUCCAGCUCCCUCAGGCGGACUUACUUUCCUUUCCAUUUGUUCUUUCUAAUCCCACUUACCCUGUGUGUGAAAAUUCUGCAUAUGGUUGCCUCUCCAGCUCUAGUGUAAGUUCUUUAGCUGUAGGAACUGCUAUCAUUUGAAUGUAUGUCCCUCCAAAAUUCAUGUUGGAACUUAAACCCCAAGAUGAUGGUAUUAAGAGCUGGGCCUUUAGGAGUUGAUUAGGCCAUGAAGGCUCUGCCCUUGUGAAUGGGAUUAAUGCCCGAAGAGGCUUCAGAGAACUGCCAGGCCCUUCCAUUUCUUCUGCCACGUGAGGACACAACAAUCAGGUGUCAUCUUGGAAACAGAGGCCUCUCACUAGACACUGAAUCCACUGGUGCCGUGGUCUUGGAUUUCUCAACUUCCAGAACUGUGAGAAAUAAAUAUUUAUUAUUUAUAAAUCACCCAAUCACAAGUAUUUUGUUGUAGCAGCACAAACAGACUAAGACAGAAAUCUUGUCUUGUUCAGGAGUUUGGAUCAAUGAAUGGAGGCUCAAACAAGCAAAUGAACAAACAAGUGAUUAACACGUGAGUUUGUUGGGAUUGCUUAGGGUAUAUGUUAGUGGACAAUGAUGUUAGACCUGAGCAUGGACCUGUGACUGCUGCAGAGGCUGGCUAGAUGCUCACCAGAAUCUCAGCAUUUUGACCUCUGGGGCUGGAUAAUUCUUUAUUGUGGGAAGACCGUCCUGUGCAGUGUGGGAUGUUUAGUAGCAUCCCUGGAUUCUACCCACUAGGUAUCAGUUGUCCCAGUUCAAAUAAAAGAUGUCUCCAGACAUUGCCAAAUGUCCUCUAGGGGACAAAAUUACCCCUAGUUGACAAUCACUCGACUAUACUACUUUCUGUACCUAGGUGGGGCCAUGUGACUGGUUCUCACCAAUGGGAUGUAUAUGGAAAUGAGAGGCAGUUCAGAGUGGGAUGCCUUUUCUACCCUCGUUCUCUUUCUAAUCUGCUGGUCAGUUUCAAGAGUCCAGGGGAGAAGUCUGAAGUCCUAGGAUAUGGCAGAAAGAACCUGGGUUCCUAAGAGACCUUGUGGAGCAGAUGCUCCCUUGCCAAGUGUCAUUGGAAUACACUGUGAAGAAGAGAGAAACCAUUACUGCAUUUGGCCACUCAGAUUUGGGGGUGUUCAUUUUGGCAGUCUACUGUCUGACUUUCCCUGACAUUUGGGAUGAAGAGACUUUGCUGAAGCAGCCGUGCCAGUAUUCCUGGUAGUGAGUAAAAAUAGAGAUUCCAAACACAAAAAAAGGGACAGAUUUUGUUUGUUUUUUCUUGUGCAGCAUCAGCCUUAUUGCAAUAAUUCUUGUAAUUUCUAUAUUUUAUCAGAAAAUGAGAUGAUGAUAAUAUUUGUUAUCCCUACCACCCUAAUAAUUUUGACGUGUGAUUAACAAGCAGCUUUGAGCUAUAAAUACUUUCAGUAGAAAGUAAUAAAACCUCAAGUGUACUGGCAGUUUUCAUUUCACUGUGUAUGUAUGUGUGUCUGCAACGAAAGUUCGAGUUGAGAUAUUUGUGGCAAUUUAUGUAUAAUGCAUUUUAACAUUUUUUGGGAACAGUGACAGAUGUGGAUACCCUGCAGUCACAGCUGUUUCCCACACCAUUAAUAAAUAAAUCACUGUAUAAUAUGACAGUCUUUGAAAUGGACUCUUAUAUGCUUAGUCCAGCUGAAUGCCAUGGAUUAGUGUCCUGUAAAAUGCUGAACCCAAGAACUUGCUUAUCAGACUAAAUUCAGUGCACCAUUCUAAAUUUAUUCUGCUGCAAUCAAUUGUAUUUGUCAUUGUGUCUACGCAGAACCCCUGACCAAAAUACGUAAGUCAAAUGGUUUCAUUUGGUGCCCAUCUGGAUGACAACAGCGGAGUUGUUUGUGGGAGACAAUGGCUGUUUGUGGAUGAGUCUUUCGAUGGCUGGAAGCUUUGUGUUUGGUUCAGUGGUCUGUGUGCCUGUUCUAUUUGCACAGGAUUCAAUCCUUUGUACAAAGAGCCACCCCAACUGAGUUUCACCAUACCUGUCAGUCAAAAUCCCUGUCUCCAGGAAAUAUAGCAAAUCUGGCUUGAGGAUACAAUGGUCAAGUCUCUUUUUCCAGUAAAUAUCCUGCUAGGUGUCUUAACUUCCAAAUAUCUGAGUCUAGUGUUUUGUUCCCCCAUAUAAAGCAUUUGCAUAAUAAUGAGCAUAAGACUGACACUUACGCCAUGAAUUGUGUGCCAGGCUCUAAGGGUUUUGCUUACAGUGCGUGCAUACUCCUCACAGCAAUCCUACGGGGUAGAGUAGACGGUUCUAUUAAUGUCUCUAUUAUAUGGGUGAGGAAAUUGAAGCACAGAGAGCCUAAAUGACUUUCCUGAGGUCACAAAGCAAGUAAAAGCCAGAGCUGGGAUUAGAACCCAGUCAAGACGUCUCCAGCAUUGAUGCUGUAAGCCACUGCAGUAUGCUGCCACAGCCUUGUCAUUCUGUUAAGGAGAUGUGCUUUCUCUGAGAUCUCCUGUAUUUUCAUGACUUCGACUAACAUCUGUAUAUGAUGCUUAAAAAGAGUUGUUGAUAUUAUUGCUUAGUUUUUUGUGUGGGCUGAGUGUACUUUCUCAACUUCAUUGUCAGCUGAUGCUCUUGUAUCUUCCCUAACUCUUGGUAUAAUGCUUCCAUGUCAGAAAGUAGUUCAUUAGCAUGUUGAUUUGGUUAUUUUUAUACCAAGAUGCUCCUUUAGAAGGUUACCCUGCAGGAGUAAGAACAUGUGUACAAAGGGAUGCAAUUGCCAGGUGGUAUAGGAAUGAAAUGGUAGUGGAAUUCAGAGGAUUCAGAAUGCCUUUACAAAAAAUGUAGUAUUUGACAAUGCCCGUGAAGGGUAGACAGUAAUUAUCUGGACACAUGGCAGUGAGGAAUGGCAUUGGUGACAGCAUGGGGGUAAGUGGCUCCUGUCUUCCAGACAGUGAGUAAUGCUUUAUGACUGGGACUGGUAGUAUGGGAGUAGGAAUAGUAUGAAAAAGGAUUGGAAAGGUUGGUGGGAGGGGGACUUAGGGAUUUAUUUGACAGGAAGCCAUUGAUGGUUUGGGGACUGGAGGAGGAUGUGGUCAUAAAGCUGUGUUUUUAGAAGCUUAAUCUGGCAGUCAUCAAUAUGGAUUGGAGCAGGAAGGGACGAAGGUGGGGAGACCAUGGAGGUGGGUGGGGGAGGUCCAGAGAUGUAAUGAAGACCUGAGCCCUUGGGGAGGGUGGCAGGAAUGGGAGGGUGAGUCAAUGCAAGAGACAUUUCAGAGACAGAGCUAGUAGCAGUUUGGAGAUUAAUUGAAUGAGUGGUGAGACAUACACAAGUUUUUAAGUCUGAGGUAUUGGGUAAAUAAUGGUAACGGAUAUAAAAUUGCAGGGAAAAAAACAGAUUUGGGAGAAAUUAAGAGUUUGCUUUAGAAGCAGCAUUGAGUGGACAGUUCAGAGCUGUACCUUCGUGGGUAAUCCACGCCCAGAUGGUCAUUAUGAAUGUAAGGCUUAAACACCUUGCCACCAGGGAGAGAAGCUCUCUAAAGAGCUGACCAUGUAAAGGCAUAGGUCUGAAGGGUUGUAGGAACGAAGAAAAAAAAUUUGUUUACUGGAACAGAGGACACUUGCAUGCACUGACAAUUAAAUUUGAUGUCUUAUUAAAUUUGAUGUCUUAUUUAAAGUUAGGAUGUAGCUUAACUUAUAUUUAUUAUUCCCAAAUUGGUUAUGAUUUCAACUGGAUUUAAAAUAUUGAAAAGAUUUUACAGACGGUGCUUAAGGACUGUUCCAUAUAGGACCCUGUCUGGAAUAUUGGGAAUCUGGUUGGAAGAUCCCUUCUCAUACAAAUUGGUUAACUCAUUAGCCUCCAGGUGUUACCCAAGUUGUUGCCUCAUUUAGAAUGCCUGCCUUCCCUUUCUUCCUCUAUCCUUCUAUUCAAACUCUAACUCUUCCUUCAAUACCCU